rnacentral:snoRNA from 1 species
GAGAGACAUGAAGAAUUUUAUCCAUCUAUUCUGUAUACAGAAUGAUGAAUUCUAAACAUGCACUACCAUCUGAUCUCUC